rnacentral:lncRNA from 1 species
GGAAGUGACAGACAGUUCUUCUGUUGUGUCAGAUCCUGUUCAAUAUAAAUACUUGCAAUGUUAUUAAAGUAGACAUAUCACAUUGAUUGCGUUUGAACAACUUCUUCACGAACAUCCUUGCAAUGCUGACUUGCACCACGAAUGCUGACUUGCAUCACGAAUGCUGUCUUCCCACAACGGCGACUGAUGAGGUUUUCUUAAAACAAACACCAUUAAUGAAGCAGUGCGCUGACAUCUGCAGGAAACCAACAACUAAAUGAAUGCGAGAAGCAACAUCCCAUCUCAGCCUUCCCACGCUACUGAAUCCUCCCCACCACCAGUCAGUGUUGUCAAGGCGAUAUACAGUUGAUGUGCUGUAAAUUGAUUUCUGGGGAGAUGUGAUGGAUGAAUGGAAAAUGAACAUCUUCAUCGGUGACCCCUCCGCGCCGUCGUCUCGAUU